rnacentral:tRNA from 1 species
GGCGGGGCGUGGAAGACCCCGGCUAUGGUUCUGGCCGCCUGAUUUUCGGGCCGGUCGGGAUCAUAACCCAGAGGUCCAUGGUUCAAAUCCAUGCCCCGCUACCA